rnacentral:lncRNA from 1 species
CAAGACUGAGCCAGGAAGAAAUUGAUUCCCUAAACAGACCAGUGGCAAGCUCCAAAAUUAAAUCAGUAAUAAAUAGCCUACCCACCAAAAAAAGCCCAGGACCUUGGGCAGAGACACAACGACAAAAAACUUCAGGCCACUAUCCUUGAUGAAUAUCAAUGCAAAAAUCCUCAGCAGAAUACUUGCAAACCAAAUCCAGCAGCAGCACAUCAAAAAGCUAAUCCACCAUGACCAAGUAGGCUUCAUCCCCAGGAUGCAAGGUUGGUUCAACAUGCAACUAUCAACAAAUGUGAGUCAUCACAUGAACAGAACUAAAGACAAAAAACCACAUGAUUAUUUCAAUACAUGCAGAAAAGGCCUUCGAUAAAAUUCAACACCCCUCCAUGUUAAAAACUCUCAAUAACCUAGGUAUUGAAGGAACAUACCUCAAUAUAAUAGAGCCAUCUAUGACAAACCCACAACCAACAUUAUACUGAAAAAGUGAAAGCUAGAAGCAUUCUACUUGAAAACUGGCACAAGGCAAGGCUGCCCUCU